GAUACAGCAGAGUCAGCAAUUACGACGGCGUAUUAGGGCCACAUAAGAAAAUAAAAUCACUUGUCACUACGGGAAUAAAGUUUUAAAUAUCGAGAUAAAACCCGUAAUUUUAUGAAUAAAGUCACCUAUUUU